GAUGAACGCUAGCGGCAGGCCUAAUACAUGCAAGUCGAGGGGCAGCGCGGUAGCAAUACUGGCGGCGACCGGCGCACGGGUGCGUAACACGUAUGCAACCUACCUUCAACUGGAGGAUAGCCCGGGGAAACUCGGAUUAAUACUCCAUAACACAGGGAUCCCGCAUGGGAAUAUUGUUAAAGCUACGGCGGUUGAAGAUGGGCAUGCGUUCGAUUAGCUAGUUGGUGUAGGUAACGGCUCACCAAGGCUACGAUCGAUAGGGGGUCUGAGAGGAUGAUCCCCCACACUGGUACUGAGAUACGGACCAGACUCCUACGGGAGGCAGCAGUAGGGAAUAUUGGUCAAUGGGCGCAAGCCUGAACCAGCCAUGCCGCGUGCAGGAAGAAGGCCCUCUGGGGUUUGUAAAACCUGGCUUUUGAUAGGGAACAAAUGCCACUUGCGAGUGGAGCUGAGUGUACCUAUAGAAUAAGCACCGGCUAACUCCGUGCCAGCAGCCGCGGUAA
rnacentral:rRNA from 1 species